rnacentral:tRNA from 2 species
GGAAGAUUGGUGAAAUGGUAGCCACAGCGGUUUGCUAAACCGCCAUCCGAAAGGGUGUGCAAGUUCAACCCUUGCAUCUUCCGCCA